GCCGCCGCGGUAAUACGUACGGCGCAAGCGUUAUCCGGAAUUAUUGGGCGUAAAGAGCUCGUAGGCGGUUUGUCGCGUCUGCUGUGAAAUCCCGAGGCUCAACCUCGGGCCUGCAGUGGGUACGGGCAGACUAGAGUGCGGUAGGGGAGAUUGGAAUUCCUGGUGUAGCGGUGGAAUGCGCAGAUAUCAGGAGGAACACCGAUGGCGAAGGCAGGUCUCUGGGCCGUAACUGACGCUGAGGGGCGAAAGGGUGGGGAGCAAACAGGCUUAGAUACCCUGGUAGUCCACCCCGUAAACGUUGGGAACUAGUUGUGGGGUCCAUUCCACGGAUUCCGUGACGCAGCUAACGCAUUAAGUUCCCCGCCUGGGGAGUACGGCCGCAAGGCUAAAACUCAAAGGAAUUGACGGGGACCCGCACAAGCGGCGGAGCAUGCGG
rnacentral:rRNA from 1 species